rnacentral:rRNA from 1 species
UGGGGAAUAUUGCACAAUGGGGGAAACCAUGAUGCAGCCAUGCCGCGUGUAUGAAGAAGGCAUUCGGGUUGUAAAGUACUAUCAGUUGUGAGGAAGGCGUUGGAGUUCUAACUUCUACGCUUCGACGUUACUCCUGAGACGAAGCACCGGCUAACUCAGUGC